UACGUAGGUGGCAAGCGUUGUCCGGAAUUAUUGGGCGUAAAGCGCGCGCAGGCGGUCUCUUAAGUCUGAUGUGAAAGCCCACGGCUCAACCGUGGAGGGUCAUUGGAAACUGGGAGACUUGAGUACAGAAGAGGAAAGCGGAAUUCCACGUGUAGCGGUGAAAUGCGUAGAGAUGUGGAGGAACACCAGUGGCGAAGGCGGCUUUCUGGUCUGUAACUGACGCUGAGGCGCGAAAGCGUGGGGAGCAAACGGG
rnacentral:rRNA from 1 species